GUUAUACAUUUUUAUUUUAAAUACAAAGAGCCCAAAAUUGUGAUAGAUUAUGAUAAAAUAUAAUAAAAAUAUAUACUUAUUAUUUAUGAUAUUUUGAGACCUAAUAUAAAGAGAGUGAGACUCAAUAGAAAAUCAAUUAUGAAAAAUAAUAUAUAUAUAUAUAUAUAUAUAUAUAUUUAAAUGCUACAAUAAACACAUAUAAGAUUUUUCUCACAAUUGUUCUCAAACACCUUCAUAAUCUUCCAUGUUCUAAAAACACAUGUAUAUUAUUUUUAAUGGCUACACUUUUUUAUUGUUCUAUUUUUUAUUAUUAAAGUAGCAAACAUUUACUUGGAGCCUUGAACAGAAAAAUGUAUUCGCAGGGAAUCCAAAUUCUAUUUAAAGUUAUCUUUUAGAUGAAUUGGGAUAAUACUUUAUAAAAGUAAUACUGAUAUUCUGUUGUUUUAAAAUAUUUCUGCAAACUUUUUUAACAUAUAUUUCUGCAAACUCACGGAUGUACUCCCAAUUUCUUAUUUGCAACAAUUGAAAUAGUAAAUAGAUAACAUAAAUUUCCUAAAGAGAAGUCACAAAACAGAUAUUAAAAUCAAUUUAUAAGUAAAAAGAAGUAGAGAAAUACCUUGUUUCCUUUGUUGUUGAUAAACUUUUAUGUCCCAUUCUUUUUGGAGCUUUCAACAGAAGUAUACUCAAGGGUCAUUUUAAAUCUGAAUUAUUACUGUUUGGGCUCUAUACAUAUGGUAAGUAUGGUGGAGUUUGAGCCUUUGAGGAGACUGUGAGAAAUUGACAAAAAGGAAGACCAAUAAAAGUUAGAAGUUCUUUACUGUUUUGAUCGUUAUAAAAAAGAUUCACAGCCAUAAUAUUGAAACCGUGGAAAGUUAGAGAAGAAGCUAUAUAGAAAAGAAAACAGUUAGAUAAUAAAACGUGGAAUGAAAAUUUUGAGAAAUUUUAGGAAUUGAGGUAGUUGAAAUUGUAGAAAAUAGGAUUUUGUUUUUCAAUUUUUUUUUAAAACUUAUUCCACAUGUCUAAGUUUUAUUGGUUAUGUGACUUGUGCUUUAGUAUACAGAGGAUUUUAUGUCACCCACAAACACAUCUUUUAGAACGACCAAAGUCUUCUUCUUCUACACUUAUAAUUCUUUGUUAAACUCUCUCACAGUUUUUAAAAGGUUUUCAAAUCUGACGUACGCUUGAUCAUCUUUUAUCCCUUUUUCUUUAGUCUCUUGCAUGUUAAGUUAUUGAUUUUCUCUUAUAUUUAUUAUUCUGUUCUUUUACAUGAUUUUUUAUUUAUAAUAAUUAUUGAUUGUUAAAAAAUAUGAAGACAUGGUGAAUUUCAAGAUCAAUGGAGGAUAAAAAUAUGUUCAAGUAUCAAGAUCCAUCUCCACCAUUGGACAAUUUUCAAUUCUUAUUUUACAAGGAGAAGAGAAAGAGUAUACAAAGAAUACUGGAGUUUGUAAGAUGGAAUGAAGAAAGCUGAAACAAAAGCAAGAAUGAUGGCUGAAAUCUAUAUGGAUUGUGUUCGAAAUGUUGUUUUCUCGUUUUUUUUUGUAAAUCAUUUUUUAUCAUGAUAUACAUAACAAAAAAAAUAAUGAAAGUUUUUAA